AUUGAACGCUGGCGGCAUGCCUAACACAUGCAAGUCGAACGAUUGGCGGACGUGUGAGUAACGUCUGGGACACUGCCUGAUGGAGGGGGAUAACUACUGGAAACGGUAGCUAAUACCGCAUACCAUCAGAUGUGCCCAGAUGGGAUUAGCGUGUUGUUGGGGUAACGGCUCACCAAGGCGACGAUCCCUAGCUGGUCUCAGAGGAUGACCAGCAACACUGGAACGGAGAAACGGUCAAGACGCCUACGGGGGGAGGAAGUGGGGAAUAGUGGAAAAGGGGCGAAAGCCUGAUGAAGAAAUGCCGCGUGUAUGAAGAGGGCCUUCGGGUUGUAAAGUACUUUCAGCGGGGAGGCGUUAACCGCAGAAGAAGCACCGGCUAACUCCGUGCCAGCAGCCGCGGUAAUUC
rnacentral:rRNA from 1 species